GCCCGCCUAGCUCAAUUGGUCAGAGCGUCAGACUUUUAUGGUUAGGAUAAUUCCACUAUAAAUAAUCUGAAGGCUGUGGGUUCGAGACCCAUGGCGGGCU
rnacentral:tRNA from 1 species